CCUACGGGAGGCAGCAGUAGGGAAUCUUCCACAAUGGGCGAAAGCCUGAUGGAGCAACGCCGCGUGGGUGAAGAAGGUCUUCGGAUCGUAAAACCCUGUUGUUAGAGAAGAAAGUGCGUGAGAGUAACUGUUCACGUUUCGACGGUAUCUAACCAGAAAGCCACGGCUAACUACGUGCCAGCAGCCGCGGUAAUACGUAGGUGGCAAGCGUUAUCCGGAUUUAUUGGGCGUAAAGGGAACGCAGGCGGUCUUUUAAGUCUGAUGUUAAAGCCUUCGGCUUAACCGGAGUAGUGCAUUGGAAACUGGGAGACUUGAGUGCAGAAGAGGAGAGUGGAACUCCAUGUGGAGCGGUGAAAUGCGUAGAGAUAUGGAAGAACACCAGUGGCGAAGGCGGCUCUCUGGUCUGUAACUGACGCUGAGGUUCGAAAGCGUGGGUAGCAAACAGGAUUAGAUACCCGAGUAGUC
rnacentral:rRNA from 1 species